GCGUAGCCACACAUAACAGAGAGCCAUAUCCCCACGCUCACUCCUUUCUGGCUUCGCCUGUCUGCUCGAAGCAGGCGAGACUCCCAAACGCUACGAGAGAAGUUUGAAACCACCGUCCUUCCCAUCUUCCAAAGGGAAUGGAAAACAACAACCCCAGUCGCAUUCCUGAGGGACUCAUUUAACGCCUUCUUUUCUUUCUUUUUUUAAAAAUAAAUUGAUUAGGUUCUCCGCUGCGUAACACCCUGGACCUGAGAACUGUCGGAACUACUUUCAGGAAUAUAGCGAGAGCAAGCCGCACAGGCACAAAGGCGGCUGAGGCGCCGCUGUUUUUCUCCAGAUUUCUGACCGGCCAGUGCAGAAUGUUUAGCUCCUUUUGUCGAUGAAGAAACAUGAUUU